UGGGGAAUAUUGGACAAUGGGGGAAACCCUGAUCCAGCAAUGCCGCGUGAGUGAUGAAGGCCUUAGGGUUGUAAAGCUCUUUCGACGGGGACGAUGAUGACGGUACCCGUAGAAGAAGCCCCGGCUAACUUCGUGCCAGCAGCCGCGGUAAUACGAAGGGGGCUAGCGUUGUUCGGAAUUACUGGGCGUAAAGGGCGCGUAGGCGGUCUUGUAAGUCAGAUGUGAAAGCCCCGGGCUCAACCCGGGAAUAGCAUUUGAUACUGCGAGGCUUGAGUCCGGGAGAGGAUGGCGGAAUUCCCAGUGUAGAGGUGAAAUUCGUAGAUAUUGGGAAGAACACCGGUGGCGAAGGCGGCCAUCUGGACCGGUACUGACGCUGAGGCGCGAAAGCGUGGGGAGCAAACAGGAUUAGAUACCCUGGUAGUCCACGCCGUAAACGAUGUCGACUAGCCGUUGGGAGUCUUGAACUCUUAGUGGCGCAGCUAACGCAUUAAGUUGACCGCCUGGGGAGUACGGCCGACG
rnacentral:rRNA from 1 species